rnacentral:hammerhead_ribozyme from 1 species
GCAUUGCUGAGAAGUCCCAUAAUAGGACGAAACGGUCGUCCAGUAC